rnacentral:rRNA from 1 species
UCCGUAGGUGAACCUGCGGAGGGAUCAUUACCGAGUUAUUCAACUCAUCAACCCUGUGAACAUACCUAAACGUUGCUUCGGCGGGAAUAGACGGCCCCGUGAAACGGGCCGCCCCCGCCAGAGGACCCUUAACUCUGUUUCUAUAAUGUUUCUUCUGAGUAAAACAAGCAAAUAAAUUAAAACUUUCAACAACGGAUCUCUUGGCUCUGGCAUCGAUGAAGAACGCAGCGAAAUGCGAUAAGUAAUGUGAAUUGCAGAAUUCAGUGAAUCAUCGAAUCUUUGAACGCACAUUGCGCCCGCCAGUAUUCUGGCGGGCAUGCCUGUUCGAGCGUCAUUACAACCCUCAGGCCCCCGGGCCUGGCGUUGGGGAUCGGCGGAGCCUCUCUGUGGGCACACGCCGUCCCCCAAAUACAGUGGCGGUCCCGCCGCAGCUUCCAUCGCGUAGUAGCUAACACCUCGCGACUGGAGAGCGGCGCGGCCACGCCGUAAAACACCCAACUCUUCUGAAGUUGACCUCGAAUCAGGUAGGAAUACCCGCUGAACUUAAGCAUAUCAAUAAGCGGA